GCAAGUCGAGCGGAAACGAUCCUAGCUUGCUAGGAGGCGUCGAGCGGCGGACGGGUGAGUAAUGCAUAGGAAUCUGCCCGGUAGUGGGGGAUAACUUGAGGAAACUCAAGCUAAUACCGCAUACGCCCCAAGGGGGAAAGCAGGGGAUCUUCGGACCUUGCGCUAUCGGAUGAGCCUAUGUCGGAUUAGCUAGUUGGUGAGGUAAUGGCUCACCAAGGCCGCGAUCCGUAGCUGGUCUGAGAGGAUGAUCAGCCACAUCGGGACUGAGACACGGCCCGAACUCCUACGGGAGGCAGCAGUGGGGAAUAUUGGACAAUGGGCGAAAGCCUGAUCCAGCCAUGCCGCGUGUGUGAAGAAGGCCUUCGGGUUGUAAAGCACUUUCAGCGAGGAAGAACGCUUGUGGGUUAAUACCCCGCAAGAAGGACAUCACUCGCAGAAGAAGCACCGGCUAACUCCGUGCCAGCAGCCGCGGUAAUACGGAGGGUGCAAGCGUUAAUCGGAAUUACUGGGCGUAAAGCGCGCGUAGGCGGCUUGAUAAGCCGGUUGUGAAAGCCCCGGGCUCAACCUGGGAACGGCAUCCGGAACUGUCAGGCUAGAGUGCAGGAGAGGAAGGUAGAAUUCCCGGUGUAGCGGUGAAAUGCGUAGAGAUCGGGAGGAAUACCAGUGGCGAAGGCGGCCUUCUGGACUGACACUGACGCUGAGGUGCGAAAGCGUGGGUAGCAAACAGGAUUAGAUACCCUGGUAGUCCACGCCGUAAACGAUGUCGACUAGCCGUUGGGGUCCUC
rnacentral:rRNA from 1 species